UCCACUUUUAAUUUGCAAAACAAGUAAACAACACGUGUCUUAGUACGUGUCUUUUAUGAGGCUAGCUUAUCUUGCUUUGUAGUGUUUUAUAUUGGACCUAUUUUGAACUUUGCAUGUUUUGUAUUAUUGGACUCUGAUCACCAUGUAAUUUUCCAAUUUGGAAAUCAAUACAAUCGACGACAAAGAAAAAAAAAAAUGCUAAUAGAAUACCACGGAGACUGAAAGCCAAUUGAAUAAAAAAG
rnacentral:lncRNA from 1 species